rnacentral:rRNA from 1 species
GAUGAACGCUGGCGGCGUGCCUAAUACAUGCAAGUCGAGCGAACAGACGAGGAGCUUGCUCCUCUGACGUUAGCGGCGGACGGGUGAGUAACACGUGGAUAACCUACCUAUAAGACUGGGAUAACUUCGGGAAACCGGAGCUAAUACCGGAUAAUAUAUUGAACCGCAUGGUUCAAUAGUGAAAGACGGUUUUGCUGUCACUUAUAGAUGGAUCCGCGCCGCAUUAGCUAGUUGGUAAGGUAACGGCUUACCAAGGCAACGAUGCGUAGCCGACCUGAGAGGGUGAUCGGCCACCUGGGAACUGAGACACGGUCCAGGCGCCUGCGAGAGGCAGCAGUAGGGAAUCUUCCGCAAUGGGCGAAAACCUGACGGAGCAACGCCGCGUGGGUGAUGAAGGUCUUCGGAUCGUAAAACUCUGUUAUUAGGGAAGAACAGAUGUGUAAGUAACUAUGCACGUCUUGACGGUACCUAGUCAGAAAGCCACGGCUAACUACGUG